rnacentral:lncRNA from 1 species
UCAUGAGAGACACACAGAGAGAGGCAGAGACAUAAGCAGAGGGAGAAGAAGGCUCCCCAUGGGGAGCCCGAUGUGGGGCUUGAUCCCAGGACCUUGGUGAUAUGGGAGAGCUUGGUUAUUGUCUCACAGAGUCGAAGAAUGAAUCUUGAGGACAACAAAGAGUGAGCAAAGUGAUAGAAAUUUAUUAAGCAGAGAUACAGAGAAAGCUCUCAAAAGUGGGAGGGAUCCUGACAGGGUUGCCACUGAGGGCUUUUAUAGUCUGUCUUUUAUAGGAAACUGACCAAGGAACUUGGUAAAUUUCUUGUCAAUAUCAGGAGGAUAUUUAGAUGAAACAUGGUGACUAGCAACAAACAAGAUGUUCUGAGAUCCCUGGAUGGCUCAGCCGUUGAGGUCUGCCUUCAGCUCAGGGCGUGACCCUGGGGUCCCGGGAUCGAGUCCCACAUCAGGCUCCCUGCAUGGAGCCUGCUUCUCCCUCUGCCUGUGUCUCUGCCUCUCUCUCUCUUUCUCUCUCUCAUAAAUAAAUAAAUAAAUAAAAUCUUAAAAAAAAAAAAAAGAACCAAUUUCUGAUACCAAAAGCUAAUGCCACAAAAUGUUACAUAACAAAUAUCCAGAAACUCAGUGCCUUCAAAAUAAAUGUUCUUUAUUACCAUUGAUCUGUGAUUUAGCUGGGGGUUGGUAAAGCUCAGCUGGACUCAGCUGGCCUGCUUUGCUGAUUUAGGUUGAACGUCACUAGGACCAAUUGGCUUUAUUCUUUGUAUUACUCAUCCUCCUCGAACCCGUGGGCUAGUUAUCAACAUGUUCUGCUGCUUCUGAGAGCAUAGCAUGAGAAAGCAAGCUCAACCACAUAAAUGCUUUUCAACCUCUGCUUACAAUUUAGCUGCAAUAUCCCAUAAGCCAAAGUAAGUCACAUGGCCAAGCCUAGAACCAAAGUUCAGGGACAUAUAUCCCACCCACAUAGCUGGGAGGGGGACAGAAAACAGUGAAUAUUUUUGAAUAAUCCAAUCUACUACAUAUGGUACUGUGGAAUUUUAGAUCACCUCCAAAGAGGAAAAGUCAUUGGGUCCAACGGAUUGGAAAUUAGAAUGGCAAAACUUCUCAGAGCAAUUCCAAAAGUUAGGAGUCAAUGGAAUGCCUGCCAAAUUCUGAAUGAAAUUAUUUAAAUCUAGAAGCCUAUAUCUAUCUAAAUUAGUCAAUUAUAAGGCUAGAAGAAGAAAUUUUGAGCCAUUCAGAUUCUCAAUUAUGUCCCAUGUACAUUUCUUCAGGAAUCUAUAGGAGAAUAAGAUCCACAAAAAAAGAAGGACUAAAACCAAGAAAGAGCAAGAGGAGGAAUACAAGAAAUAGGAAAAAUAGGAAAUCUUUUUUUUUUUAAGAUUUAUUUAUUUAUUUAUUCAGAGAGAGAGAGAGAGAGAGAGAGAGAGAGAGAGAGAGAGAGGCAGAGACACAGGCAGAGGGAGAAGCAGGCUCCAUGCAGGGAGCCUGAUGCGGGACUCAAUCCCGGGUCUCCAGGAUCACACCCCAGGCUGCAGGCGGUGCUAAACCGCUGCACCACCGGGGCUGCCCGGAAAUAGGAAAUCUAACAGAGGAGAGAGAUCAAGGAAAUUUCCAGUGUGACAGCACAUGGAAGUUCCAUACCAUUGCAUGGCGAGAAAGAGCACUCUGGAUUUAUAGGGAUACUCUCUGGUUCUCUGCAGUGUGGACAAUUUAAUUGUGUGAAAAAUCUAAAUAAAAUGCUAUUAUGCAGAAUGCGAAAACUCAAGUAUAUUUACAAUGAGAAACUAAGCAAACAAAAAAUGGUGCAAUUAUUAACUCUAGAAAAAUACUCAAAAAAUGUAUAUAAAAAUAUAAUUAUAAUUCACUAUGGUUUGAUUGUAAACAAUGUUUCAUAUUAAGGUAAUCAUAAAAAUUGUACUAUUGGAAGAAUAGGAAGAAGAAAGUGAAAUCCUAUCUACCAUAAUAGAAAGUAACUAGAUAAUAUCCAACAUGGAUAAAUGAGGAGUAAGUAAUAUAAUACAAAUUAUUUAGCAAUAUGGAAGAAAUCAAUUGACUCCAGAGUGGAAUUAGAAAACAUGAAGUGUGGGACAAAGGAUUGCUAUUUUGUAAGUCUUUUUAUCAAUACUUGACUCUUGUAAAAAUGUGUGCAUAUAUUAUUCUAAUAAAUAUUUUAAAGGCCUAGGGAAAGGUAAUAAAAUAAGCCUGUAUAAUACUUGGUGAGAGCAAAUUUCAUCCAUUUUGUCAUUUAUUGAAUAAUCAUUUAUGCUUGGCACUGGGCAUCAAAAUAAUGAUUAACAAUGCACAGUGUUUAGUGAUUAUGAAACAGGUUUGUAUAUAUUAGUCUUAUGAUUUGAUUCUCACAAGUCUGUGAGGUUAACACAGAAACAAACUUACCGUGAUACUGAUCAAUCUUAAGCUUCAAGGCCGCUCAGUGAAUGAGCUGCUUCCUAACUCUGGGAACGGUCACUAGUAAUAUGCUCACACAUGACAAGUUUUGGUAAAUUAUACACCCCCCCAAAAUGGCCUUUUGUUAAGAUGACUGUUACUUUCCAAAUUCCAAUGCAUCAUACUUCCCCUUAUGUAGGCUUGGGCAUUAUUUCUAAAUAAAUACACAUUUUGUAUACAUCUAAUGUAUAUUCACAAUUUUGUAUCUUUGCUUAAAAAGGGCUCCUCCUCAUAUUAUCAACUUCAGGCUUUAUAAAACCUGAAUUAAUCCCUGGUAUAUUAUACAUGUAUAUUAUACAUCCCAUAUAUACAUCCAUAUAUAUAUAUCCAUAUAUAUACAUAUUAUACAUCCCAUUUUACAAAUUAAUGAAUAAGGGUAAGUAGCUUUGCCCAGAUUUCCACAUCUGGAUUUAAAUUCACGUAUUUGAGUUGUCUGACUUCAUUUUCUUUCCAUUACUCCACAGUAUAUCUCUAGAUGGUGAAAGAAAGGUUAAGAGGCAUCAGCUACUUUCCUGGGAAAAUCAGUACUGGAACAUGGGUGGAAAGGGGGUAAACCUGAGUCAUCAGGAUUCAUAUGGUGGUGUUGGGUAAC